GGUUCUGUGAGCUAGUGGUUAAGAACUUGCCUGGUAAUUGUGAGCAUAGGUGGCGAGUAUGUUGGUUCGAAUCCAGCUAGAACCG